rnacentral:rRNA from 1 species
UACGUAGGGUGCAAGCGUUGUCCGGAAUUAUUGGGCGUAAAGAGCUCGUAGGCGGUUUGUCGCGUCGGCUGUGAAAACUCGGGGCUCAACCCCGAGCCUGCAGUCGAUACGGGCAGACUAGAGGUAGGUAGGGGAGAAUGGAAUUCCUGGUGUAGCGGUGAAAUGCGCAGAUAUCAGGAGGAACACCGGUGGCGAAGGCGGUUCUCUGGGCCUUACCUGACACUGAGGAGCGAAAGCGUGGGGAGCAAACAGG